CUUUUCAGGGGGAGUUAAUGCGCGUUGCACUCUUUUUUCCUUGCAAGGUUUUGUCCCACCGGGUUUUCCUUGCAAGGUUUUUAACGAGGCACCCAAUAAGCGCAUAUUCAAACAUGUGUACUCUUUUUCCUUUCUAUAAUUUUUUCCCAUUGGGUUUUGUUUUAGUUAAGGUUUUAACGAGGCACAUUAUUGAAUAGACAUUCAAGGGGGAGUGUUAUA
rnacentral:lncRNA from 1 species